AGUGAACGCUGGCGGCAGGCCUAACACAUGCAAGUCGAACGGCAGCACAGGAGAGCUUGCUCUCUGGGUGGCGAGUGGCGGACGGGUGAGGAAUACAUCGGAAUCUACCUUUUCGUGGGGGAUAACGUAGGGAAACUUACGCUAAUACCGCAUACGACCUUAGGGUGAAAGCGGAGGACCUUCGGGCUUCGCGCGGAUAGAUGAGCCGAUGUCGGAUUAGCUAGUUGGCGGGGUAAAGGCCCACCAAGGCGACGAUCCGUAGCUGGUCUGAGAGGAUGAUCAGCCACACUGGAACUGAGACACGGACCGGACUCCUACGGGAGGCAGCAGUGGGGAAUAUUGGACAAUGGGCGCAAGCCUGAUCCAGCCAUGCCGCGUGGGUGAAGAAGGCCUUCGGGUUGUAAAGCCCUUUUGUUGGGAAAGAAAAGCAGCCGGUUAAUACCCGGUUGUUCUGACGGUACCCGAAGAAUAAGCACCGGCUAACUUCGUGCCAGCCGCCGCAGUAA
rnacentral:rRNA from 1 species